GUAGCUUUGUAAUGCUGUCAGCAACCUCAAAUGUGUUGAUAUCACAGAUGGAGUGGUGGAUUGUAUGUAUAGUGUCAGGAAUAUAUGGAAGCGAAUGCCUCGUAGGGGUUUUUUGAAUUUAGAAAAUAAAUCAAUGUCACAGAGAAUAAAAUAUAGAGAGUUUGAUAAGUGGUACAGCAUUUCAUUUUGUGAGCAGGUCAUAGGCAAUACCAGUCAUAGGACAACAAGCAUUAUCAUGGAGGAUAAUGACUGGAGUGAUCAGAAAGUGACAUUGUUUCCUCUGCAGGACAUCACAUAAGUUGUGCUACAAGAAAUGUGUGUAGUAUGCAACAUUUAGUUUGUCUGUUGUGUACCUGUACGUCCCAAACAGCAGGUCGUCUAGGCCUAGGAUUGUUGCUCAUGUUCUUACUUGAAUGUAUUCACCACUUCCUUAUCAUACUGUACAGUAAUGAAUCAGCACUAUAGGCCUCUACAAGUCUCUGAUAGUAUUCCUUUGUGAUACAUUCCCCUUGCAGUUUCAGUUUUAAGCCAAGAAUGUUCCUCCAAUUUGGAAACCAACUUUCUCCACUGAUCUUCUGCUUUGCAUAGACUGCAUGAUGUUAAUGUGAGGAUGCAGCAUGUGGAAAAGCAAAUACUCUUUCCAAUGAUGGGAGGAAAGGUUUGACCUUGUAUGUGCCAGGAUCACAGAUGACUAUUACCCUCCAGCACUGCUGUG
rnacentral:lncRNA from 1 species